rfam:Heterocephalus glaber contig180982, whole genome shotgun sequence.
GUGUAGCUCAGUGGUGGAGCCCUUGCCUAACAUGCAGGAAACACUGAGUUCAAUCCCCAGCAC